GACCUCGGAUCAGGUAGGAAUACCCGCUGAACUUAAGCAUAUC
rnacentral:rRNA from 14 species